rnacentral:lncRNA from 1 species
GGAUCCCUGAGCGAUUCUCUGGCUCCAGCUCAGGGACAAUAGUCACAUUGACCAUCAGUGGAGUCCAGGCAGAAGACGAGGCUGACUAUUACUGUCUAUCAGCAGACAGCAGUGGUACUUAUCCCACAGUGACACAAGGAGACAGGGAAGUCAGCCCAAGGCCAACCCCACUGUCACUCUGUUCCCGCCCUCCUCUGAGGAGCUCCAAGCCAACAAGGCCACACUAGUGUGUCUGAUCAGUGACUUCUACCCGGGAGCUGUGACAGUGGCCUGGAAGGCAGAUGGCAGCCCCGUCAAGGCGGGAGUGGAGACCACCAAACCCUCCAAACAGAGCAACAACAAGUACGCGGCCAGCAGCUACCUGAGCCUGACGCCCGAGCAGUGGAAGUCCCACAGAAGCUACAGCUGCCAGGUCACGCAUGAAGGGAGCACCGUGGAGAAGACAGUGGCCCCUACAGAAUGUUCAUAGGUUCCCAACUCUAACCCCACCCACGGGAGCCUGGAGCUGCAGGAUCCCAGGGGAGGGGUCUCUCUCCCCAUCCCAAGUCAUCCAGCCCUUCU